ACCCGCUGAACUUAAGCAUAUCAAUAAGCGGAGGAAAAGAAACCAACAGGGAUUGCCCUAGUAACGGCGAGUGAAGCGGCAACAGCUCAAAUUUGAAAUCUGGCGUCUUUGGCGUCCGAGUUGUAAUUUGCAGAGGGCGCUUUGGCAUUGGCAGCGGUCCAAGUUCCUUGGAACAGGACGUCACAGAGGGUGAGAAUCCCGUACGUGGUCGCUAGCCUUUACCGUGUAAAGCCCCUUCGACGAGUCGAGUUGUUUGGGAAUGCAGCUCUAAAUGGGAGGUAAAUUUCUUCUAAAGCUAAAUACUGGCCAGAGACCGAUAGCGCACAAGUAGAGUGAUCGAAAGAUGAAAAGCACUUUGGAAAGAGAGUUAAAAAGCACGUGAAAUUGUUGAAAGGGAAGCGCUUGCAGCCAGACUUGCCUGUAGUUGCUCAUCCGGGUUUUUACCCGGUGCACUCUUCUACGGGCAGGCCAGCAUCAGUUUGGGCGGUUGGAUAAAGGUCUCUGUCAUGUACCUCCUCUCGGGGAGAUCUUAUAGGGGAGACGACAUGCAACCAGCCUGGACUGAGGUCCGCGCAUCUGCUAGGAUGCUGGCGUAAUGGCUGUAAGCGGCCCGUCUUGAAACACGGACCAAGGAGUCUAACAUCUAUGCGAGUGUUUGGGUGUCAAGCCCGAACGCGUAAUGAAAGUGAACGGAGGUGGGAACCUUUCGGGGUGCACCAUCGACCGAUCCUGAUGUCUUCGGAUGGAUUUGAGUAAGAGCAUAGCUGUUGGGACCCGAAAGAUGGUGAACUAUGCUUGAAUAGGGUGAAGCCAGAGGAAACUCUGGUGGAGGCUCGCAGCGGUUCUGACGUGCAAAUCGAUCGUCAAAUUUGGGCAUAGGGGCGAAAGACUAAUCGAACUAUCUAGUAGCUGGUUCCUGCCGA
rnacentral:rRNA from 1 species